UUCCUACGGGGGGCAGCAGUGAGGAAUAUUGGUCAAUGGUCGGGAGACUGAACCAGCCAAGCCGCGUGAGGGAGGAAGGUACAGAGUAUCGUAAACCUCUUUUGUCAGGGAACAAAGACUGGGACGCGUCCCCGGAUGAGUGUACCUGAAGAAAAAGCAUCGGCUAACUCCGUGCCAGCAGCCGCGGUAAUACGGAGGAUGCGAGCGUUAUCCGGAUUUAUUGGGUUUAAAGGGUGCGUAGGCGGGUUAUCAAGUCAGCGGUAAAAUCGUGGAGCUCAACUCCAUCCAGCCGUUGAAACUGAUGA
rnacentral:rRNA from 1 species